rnacentral:misc_RNA from 1 species
AAGUCGUAACAAGGUUUCCGUAGGUGAACCUGCGGAAGGAUCAUUAUCGAGUUUUGAAAGGGGUUGUAGCUGGCCUUCCGAGGCAUGUGCUCGCCUCGCUCAUCCACUCAACACCUGUGCACCCUCUGUGGGCCUCACGGCCUGCGUCUUCACAAACGAGUCAGUCUUUGAAUGUAAACCGCGUAUGUAACGCAUUUAAUACAACUUUCAACAACGGAUCUCUUGGCUCUC